UUUAAAGUCUAAUCUGCCCUAUGAGGAAUUAAAUGGCCGCGGUAUUUUGACCGUGCAAAGGUAGCAUAAUAAUUAGUUUUUUAAUUGAAAGCUGGAAUGAAUGAUUGGACGAGAAAGUAACUGUCUCAAAUUAAUUUUUUUAGAAUUUUAUUUUUAAGUAAAAAAGCUUAAAUUUUUUUAGAAGACGAGAAGACCCUAUAGAGUUUUAUAUAAGUUAAAUUAUGAAUUUUUUAGAAUUUUUAUGUUUAUAUUUUGAUUUAUAUUUUGUUGGGGUGAUAGAAAAAUUGAACAAACUUUUUUUAAAAAAAAACAUUAAUUUAUGAUUAGAUGAUCCAAUUAUAUUGAUUAUAAGAUUAAAUUACCUUAGGGAUAACAGCGUAAUUUUUUUUUAGAGUUCUUAUCGAAAAAAGAGAUUGCGACCUCGAUGUUGGAUUAAAAUUAAUUUUUGGUGAAGAAGCUAAAAGAUUAGGUCUGUUCGACCUUUAAAAUUUUACA
rnacentral:rRNA from 1 species